CCCUUCUUUCCCAAGCGUUGUCCUUCUUUCUUGGGCGUAAAGCGCUCGUCUUCUUUUCGGUAAGUCGGGUGUGAAACCCCGGGGCUCAACCCGGGGAGGCCAACCGAUACUGCUGUGACUCGAGUUCGGUAGGGGAGCGGGGAAUUCCUGGUGUAGCGGUGAAAUGCGCAGAUAUCAGGAGGAACACCGGUGGCGAAGGCGCCGCUCUGGGCCGAUACUGACGCUGAGGAGCGAAAGCGUGGGGAGCAAACAGG
rnacentral:rRNA from 1 species